UACGGGGGGGGCAAGCGUUGUUCGGAAUUACUGGGCGUAAAGGGCUCGUAGGUGGCCAACUAAGUCAGACGUGAAAUCCCUCAGCUUAACUGGGGAACUGCGUCUGAUACUGGAUGGCUUGAGUUUGGGAGAGGGAUGCGGAAUUCCAGGUGUAGCGGUGAAAUGCGUAGAUAUCUGGAGGAACACCGGUGGCGAAGGCGGCAUCCUGGACCGGCAUUGACGCUGAGGAGCGAAAGCGUGGGGAGCGAACAGG
rnacentral:rRNA from 1 species